GAUCCAACAAAGAUAGAGAACUUCAGAC
rnacentral:piRNA from 1 species